UACGUAGGGUGCGAGCGUUACUCGGAAUCACUAGGCGUAAAGCGCAGGUAGGAGGUUUGGUAAGUCUAUUGUGAAAGCUCCCAGCUUAACUGGGAGAGGUCAAUGGAAACUACCAGGCUGGAGUGCGGUAGAGGUAGCUGGAAUUCCCGGUGUAGCGGUGAAAUGCGUAGAUAUCGGGAGGAAUACCUAUGGCGAAAGCAGGCUACUGGACCGUCACUGACUCUGAUCUGCGAAAGCUAGGGGAGCAAACAGG
rnacentral:rRNA from 1 species